UAAACUAAGGUCAUAGUUGACGAUCAUUAAAUAAUUCAGAGCCUAAUGUCAGUAGGUUUGGUAGUUAUUUACAUAUGUCUAGGUGGGAUCUCUAUAAUUGGUCAAUUAGGCACAUUUGACCCCAUGCUAAUUAUACUAAUUAUGCUAAUUUAUACCUCUGUCAUUAUUUUGUAUUCCAGGAGGUGUCAGCAAAGCAACUGCAAGCGCAGACGAGUGAAAAAGUCUGUUCGGUACAAGUCAAUUUUCACAAGAUCGAAGAUUUCUCUAUUUAAUUGGAUGAGAUUUGUGUACAGAUUCUCUCAAGGACUGAAGUUGCGCCAGCUUGAUUUAAUGAUGGACAAUGUUGCUGGGUCCUCAAGAACCCUUUCAAGAAUGGCAAAGCAACUGAGGGAGGUCUGCGUGACGGCUAUAGAGAGACUGCGUCGGAGAAAAGGACAGCGAAUCGGGGGACGGAGGCGUUUUGUGGUGAUAGAUGAGAGUCACUUCAGACAUAAAAGAAAGUAUGGAAGGGGCAGGUUUUCCGGUGGCUGGAAGUGGAGGAAAUGGGUGUUCGGGAUGCUGGAGGUGCACUGCUUUAAAA